ACAUGCAAGUCGAGCGAAUGGAUUGAGAGCUUGCUCUCAAGAAGUUAGCGGCGGACGGGUGAGUAACACGUGGGUAACCUGCCCAUAAGACUGGGAUAACUCCGGGAAACCGGGGCUAAUACCGGAUAACAUUUUGAACUGCAUGGUUCGAAAUUGAAAGGCGGCUUCGGCUGUCACUUAUGGAUGGACCCGCGUCGCAUUAGCUAGUUGGUGAGGUAACGGCUCACCAAGGCAACGAUGCGUAGCCGACCUGAGAGGGUGAUCGGCCACACUGGGACUGAGACACGGCCCAGACUCCUACGGGAGGCAGCAGUAGGGAAUCUUCCGCAAUGGACGAAAGUCUGACGGAGCAACGCCGCGUGAGUGAUGAAGGCUUUCGGGUCGUAAAACUCUGUUGUUAGGGAAGAACAAGUGCUAGUUGAAUAAGCUGGCACCUUGACGGUACCUAACCAGAAAGCCACGGCUAACUACGUGCCAGCAGCCGCGGUAAUACGUAGGUGGCAAGCGUUAUCCGGAAUUAUUGGGCGUAAAGCGCGCGCAGGUGGUUUCUUAAGUCUGAUGUGAAAGCCCACGGCUCAACCGUGGAGGGUCAUUGGAAACUGGGAGACUUGAGUGCAGAAGAGGAAAGUGGAAUUCCAUGUGUAGCGGUGAAAUGCGUAGAGAUAUGGAGGAACACCAGUGGCGAAGGCGACUUUCUGGUCUGUAACUGACACUGAGGCGCGAAUUUAUGCCACC
rnacentral:rRNA from 1 species